GCUUUCGUUUCUCAAUCCUCCGAUCAAAAUUUUGAGACUUGGGUUUUUAAUUUUCUAUUGAUUAACGCUUUCACUUUUGAGUUUUUGGCAUUGAAAUGUAAAGUUGAGAUUUCGAAAUUGUUCAAAAGUUUGUUUUCUUAAUUGUGGGUUUAUUGGAUUAUGUCAAGGAAGUUGCAUGCAUAGAGGAAUUAUUGGGCAUUAGGCGUGGCAGCAUUUCUAAUUUUGGGGUGCUUGGUGGAUGGGAAAUGGAGGAAGAAAUAUAAAAAUCUAGCUGUGAUUUUCUUUCCUCGGAAAAAAGCUUUGGUUUUCUAUUCUUCUUCUUCUUCUUCUUUUCAAGUUUUGUCUUGUUUGCUUAGAAUUUUUAUUUUUAUUUUUUAUCAAUGAUUUAAUCUUGUUUUGGGUACAUCAGAGAAAAUUACAAACUGGGGAGGGGGAGAUUGGAAUAUUCGACCUUAACUAUUGUGACGAGGGAUAGCAACGUUAAGCAAGCCUAAUUGUUAUGAUUUAAUGUGGUUAUAUCACUUGAGAAUCUACAAAAGUAUUGUUUAUGGCUUUCUUUAUGUAUUUGCGCAUCUAAUAUUUGUGUGUUUGUUUCUAAUGGUUGCAUGUAUCCUUAGAAUGUUAUUAUAACUGCAGAUAUUGGUACGUGAUGUAUCAAUGAAUGGCAUCUUCUGUGAAUCAUGUUGUAGGUGUUCUGGAUAAUCUGCAUAAGCUGCUAUCCUCAGUUCCUCACAUAUAAUUGAAUUGAAGUCUGAAAUUAUGCAAAUACAUUCAGCAGAUCGAUUUGAGAAAUUCUUCUUACUUAAAUAAAACUACCAGUAGUUAAUUGUCAACAUAGUAACUAGAUGAGAAGUGCAAGAGGUUCCUUGGUAAUGGAAGGCAAUGCUAGCUAUCAGCAAUUUUGAGAAAAGUCACUAAAUUAAUGGGCUAGGAAGGCAACUUAUAUAGAAGAUCAUGUAUUUGCUAGGAGGUUGAAUCAUAUUAUUUACAUAUUUUCAAUUGAAGCAUUUCAUAUGCUAUGUUAAGAGGUUGAACUUUCAGAUAAACUUUGUUCUUCAUAUGUUACCGAGAUAAUAAAAUCCAUUAUCUGUGAGGUUCUUUCCUCCAUUCUUUCCUA